CCUACGGGAGGCAGCAGUGAGGAAUAUUGGUCAAUGGGCGCGAGCCUGAACCAGCCAAGCCGCGUGAAGGAUGAAGGAUCUAUGGUUUGUAAACUUCUUUUAUAUGGGAAUAAAGUGCGGAACGUGUUCCUUUUUGUAUGUACCAUAUGAAUAAGCAUCGGCUAACUCCGUGCCAGCAGCCGCGGUAAUACGGUGGAUGCGAGCGUUAUCCGGAUUUAUUGGGUUUAAAGGGUGCGUAGGUGGUUAAUUAAGUCAGCGGUGAAAGUUUCAGGCUCAACCAUAAAAUUGCCGUUGAAACUGGUCGACUAGAGUAUAUUUGAGGGAGGCAGAAUGCGUGGUGUAGCGGUGAAAUGCAUAGAGAUCACGCAGAACUCCGAUUGCGAAGGCAGCUUACUAAACUAUAACUGACACUGAGGCACGAAAGCGUGGGGAUCAAACAGGAUUAGAUACCCUUGUAGUC
rnacentral:rRNA from 1 species